rnacentral:misc_RNA from 1 species
GUGAAUCAUCGAAUCUUUGAACGCAAAUUGCACUCUCUUCGGAGAGUAUGCCUGUUUGAGGGUCAGCCUAAAAAAAAUCGAAAUCGUUGCUGUUUCUCGGUGGCGUUCGUCGGAAAUCGGGUUAUCUUAACUCUCUGGUUUAAGCGACUUAAAAUUUUCUUUAAGAUUUUAUGAACGUUUCUAAGAUUUAUUUCUUUAUUCGUGUAAGGUAACGAUUUUAUUAGGCGUGGUCGCCAUAUCGGAGCGCGUACAUAUUUUUUUGUAAA